rnacentral:rRNA from 1 species
GACGAACGCUGGCGGCGUGCUUAACACAUGCAAGUCGAACGGAAAGGCCCUGCUUUUGUGGGGUGCUCGAGUGGCGAACGGGUGAGUAACACGUGAGUAACCUGCCCUUGACUUUGGGAUAACUUCAGGAAACUGGGGCUAAUACCGGAUAGGAGCUCCUGCUGCAUGGUGGGGGUUGGAAAGUUUCGGCGGUUGGGGAUGGACUCGCGGUUUAUCAGCUUGUUGGUGGGGUAGUGGCUUACCAAGGCUUUGACGGGUAGCCGGCCUGCGAGGGUGACCGGCUACAUGGGGACUGAGAUACGGCCCAGACUCCUACGGGAGGCAGCAUUGCGGAAUAUUGCACAAUGGGCGGAAGCCUUAUGCAGCAACGCCGCGUGCGGGAUGACGGCCUUCGGGUUGUAAACCGCUUUCGCCUGUGACGAAGCGUGAGUGACGGUAAUGGGUAAAGAAGCACCGGCUAACUACGUG